AUGUCUUCAAUGGAGAGCCUAGCACAGUUAGAGGUGUUGUGCGAAAAGCUUUACAACUCUAGAGACUCGGCUGAGAGAGCACAUGCAGAAAGUACGCUCAAGUGCUUCUCAGAGAACAGAGACUACAUUUCGCAGUGCCAAUAUAUAUUGGACAAUGCGUCAACUCCAUAUGCCUUGAUGUUGGCCAGUACAAGCUUGGUGAAGCAAGUGUCAGAUCGCAGUCUUUCUCUACAAUUGCGCCUUGAUAUCCGGAAUUAUGUCAUGAACUACCUUGCGGCAAGAGGACCUAAAUUGCAGAACUUUGUGACUAUUUCCCUAAUUCAGCUUGCAUGUCGGAUAACAAAAUUUGGAUGGUUUGAUGACGACAGAUUCAGAGAGAUUUUUAAAGAAGCAACAGAUUUCUUAGCUCUGGCAUCUCAGGAUCACUAUUUAAUAGGAUUGAAGAUACUAAAUUUUCUCGUAAUGGAAAUGAACCAGGCAAACUCUGCAAUGCCUUUGACACUUCACAGAAAAAUUGCAACUUCAUUCAAGGACCAGUUUCUUCUGCAGAUUUUCCAAAUUUCUCUUACCUCAUUACACCAACUGAAAAGUGAAGGUGAUGUUCGAGUACCAGAUGAGCUAAGGCGUGUUCCUAUUUCGCUUGCAUUGAGGUGCUUGUCAUUUGACUUUGUUGGUUCUCCAGUGGAUGAGAGCUCUGAAGAAUUUGGAACAGUGCAGCUUCCUGCAUCCUGGAGGCCUCUCCUUCAAGAUCCUUCCACUGUUCAGAUCUUUUUUGACUACUACAAAGUCAAUGAUACAUCUGUUUCAAAAGAGGCUUUGGAAUGUCUUGUCAGACUUGCUUCUGUCAGGCGAAGUCUUUUUGUGGAAGACCCUGCCAGGUCCCAGUUUCUCUCACAUCUGAUGUCAGGCACCAGGGAGAUACUCCAAACAGGCCAAGGUCUCGCUGAUCAUGGAAAUUACCAUGAGUUCUGCCGUCUUCUGGGACGUUUUAAAGUGAAUUACCAGUUAUCAGAGCUUCUGAAUGUUGAGUUCUAUGGUGAAUGGCUUGGUCUCGUAGCAGAAUUUACAACUAAAUCGUUGCUAUCAUGGCAGUGGGCCAGUAAUAGCGUCUACUAUCUUUUAAGUCUCUGGUCAAGGCUGGUGACAUCUGUGCCUUACUUGAAAGGCGAUACACCAAGUCUGCUUGAUGAAACUGUACCCAAAAUUACGGAGGGUUUUAUCACUUCUAGAAUUAAUUCUGUCCAGGCCAGCUUUGCGGACAACUCACCAGACCCAGAUAAUCCAUUAGAAAAUGCGGAAAGUCUCCAGGAUCAGCUGGAGAGUCUUCCUUAUCUUUGUAGAUUCAAGUAUGAAAGCUGUAGCCUCUUCAUCAUUAAUAUCAUGGAGCCUCUUCUACAAGCUUAUACGGCAAGGUCAAGAUUACCAGCUUCUGGAGAUGCAGCUGAGCUGUCUGUCAUUGAAGGGCAAAUUGCAUGGAUGGUCCACAUAAUUGCAGCUAUUCUCAAGAUUAGGCAGACUGUGGGUUGCAGCCAAGAUUCACAGGAGUUAUUCGAUGCGGAACUUGCGGCUCGUGUGUUACAGUUGAUAAAUAUUACUGACACAGGGGUGCACGCACAGAGAUAUCAAGAAAUAAGUAAGCAAAGGCUUGAUCGAGCUAUUCUCAUCUUUGUUCAAAAUUUCAGAAGGUCAUAUGUAGGGGACCAAGCCAUGCAUGCUUCAAAGUUGUAUGCAAGAUUGUCUGAACUUCUUGGACUGACUGACCAUUUAGUUUUACUCAACGUCAUUGUUGGGAAAAUAGCUACAAAUCUGAAGUGCUAUGCUGAGUGCGAAGAUGUUAUUGAUCAUACUCUGUCACUGUUCCUGGAGCUUGCAUCUGGCUAUAUGACUGGAAAGCUUAUUCUCAAGCUGGAGAGUACAAAGUUCAUUAUUGCAAAUCAUUCUCGGGAAAAUUUUCCGUUUCUUGAAGAAUAUAGAUGUGUCCGCAGUAGAACUAACUUCUACUACAUCCUGGGCUGCUUGGUCUUCAUGGAGGAUGGCCCAGUAAAAUUCCGAAGUUUCAUGGAGCCACUUCUGCAGGUUGCAGUUAAUUUGGAGGCAAGUGCUGAUGCUGCUUUCCGGACUGAUGUUGUAAAGUACGCAUUUACUGGUUUGAUGAGAGAUCUACGAGGCAUUGCUAUGGCCACAAACAGCCGCAGGACUUACGGCCUCCUAUUUGACUGGUUGUAUCCGUCUCGCAUGCCUCUUCUGUUGAGAGCCAUCUCCCUGCUGACUGAUGAACCAGAGGUCACCACACCCUUACUUAAGUUCAUGUCUGAAUUUGUUUUGAAUAAGGCUCAACGAUUGACAUUUGAUUCAUCAUCACCAAAUGGGAUCCUUCUGUUCCGGGAGAUUAGUAAGCUGAUUGUGGCUUAUGGUUCACGGAUUUUAUUGCUUCCAAAUGGCACUAAUAUUUAUAGAAGUAAAUACAAAGGCAUAUGGAUUUCAUUGACUGUUCUUUCAAGGGCCCUAUGUGGGAACUAUGUCAAUUUUGGUGUCUUCGAGCUUUAUGGUGACAGAGCACUUGCGGAUGCCCUUGAUAUAUCUUUAAAGAUGACUCUGUCAAUUCCGUUGUCUGACAUAUUGACAUUUAAAAAGCUUUCAAAAGCAUACUAUGGAUAUAUGGAAGUUCUUUUCAACAACCAUAUCACUAUCAAUUCUGUCCUCAAUUUGGACACAAGCACAUUUGUGCAUAUUGUCACCUCGCUUGAAUCUGGCUUGAAAGGAUUAGAUACAGGAAUAUCAACACAGUGCGCUUCUGCCAUUGAUAGCUUGGCUGCUUUCUAUUUUAACAAUAUAACAGCUGGUGAUAAUCCACCAUCACCAGCUGCACUGAAUCUUGCUCGACAUAUUGGGGAGCUCCCCAGUUUAUUUCCUCAGAUACUGAAGUCACUUUUUGAAAUCAUUAUCUUCGAGGAUGCGGGUAACCAGUGGAGUCUCAGUAGACCAAUACUUAGUUUGAUAAUGAUCAGUGAACAGAUGUUUAGUGAUCUGAGAUCACAGGUAUUAGCAUCACAGCCUUUAGAUCAGCAACAACGCCUCUCACAGUGUUUCGAUAAGCUCAUGACUGAUGUCACAAGGAGCUUGGAACCAAAGAACAGAGACAGAUUCACUCAAAAUCUCACAACAUUCAGACAUGAUUUCCGAGCGAAGUGA
rnacentral:rRNA from 1 species